UACAGAGGGGGCAAGCGUUGUUCGGAAUUACUGGGCGUAAAGGGCGCGUAGGCGGCCUGUUAAGUCGAACGUGAAAUCCCCGGGCUCAACCCGGGAACUGCGUCCGAUACUGGCAGGCUUGAAUCCGGGAGAGGGAUGCGGAAUUCCAGGUGUAGCGGUGAAAUGCGUAGAUAUCUGGAGGAACACCGGUGGCGAAGGCGGCUUCUGGACGGUAACUGACGCUGAGACGCGAAAGCGUGGGGAGCAAACAGG
rnacentral:rRNA from 1 species